GCGCUCGUAGCUCAGGGGAUAGAGCAGCGGUCUUCUAAACCGCUGGUCGCUGGUUCGAAUCCAGCCGGGCGCACCA
rnacentral:tRNA from 1 species